rnacentral:rRNA from 1 species
GGGGAAUAUUGCACAAUGGAGGAAACUCUGAUGCAGCGACGCCGCGUGAAGGAUGAAGUAUUUCGGUAUGUAAACUUCUAUCAGCAGGGAAGAAAAUGACGGUACCCAACAAGGAAGUGACGGCUAACUACGUGCCAGCAGCCGCGGUAAAACGUAGGUCACAAGCGUUGUCCGGAAUUACUGGGUGUAAAGGGAGCGCAGGCGGGAAGACAAGUUGGAAGUGAAAUCUAUGGGCUCAACCCAUAAACUGCUUUCAAAACUGUUUUUCUUGAGUAGUGCAGAGGUAGGCGGAAUUCCCGGUGUAGCGGUGGAAUGCGUAGAUAUCGGGAGGAACACCAGUGGCGAAGGCGGCCUACUGGGCACCAACUGACGCUGAGGCUCGAAAGUGUGGGUAGCAAACAGGAUUAGAUACCCUGGUAGUCCACACCGUAAACGAUGAUUACUAGGUGUUGGAGGAUUGACCCCUUCAGUGCCGCAGUUAACACAAUAAGUAAUCCACCUGGGGAGUACGACCGCAAGGUUGAAACUCAAAGGAAUUGACGGGGGCCCGCACAAGCAGUGGAGUAUGUGGUUUAAUUCGACGCAACGCGAAGAACCUUACCAAGUCUUGACAUCCCUUGACAGGCAUAGAAAUAUGUUUUCUCUUCGGAGCAAGGAGACAGGUGGUGCAUGGUUGUCGUCAGCUCGUGUCGUGAGAUGUUGGGUUAAGUCCCGCAACGAGCGCAACCCUUAUGGUCAGUUACUACGCAAGAGGACUCUGGCCAGACUGCCGUUGACAAAACGGAGGAAGGUGGGGAUGACGUCAAAUCAUCAUGCCCUUUAUGACUUGGGCUACACACGUACUACAAUGGCGUUAAACAAAGAGAAGCAAGACCGCGAGGUGGAGCAAAACUCAGAAACAACGUCCCAGUUCGGACUGCAGGCUGCAACUCGCCUGCACGAAGUCGGAAUUGCUAGUAAUCGUGGAUCAGCAUGCCACGGUGAAUACGUUCCCG